GACGAACGCUGGCGGCGCGCUUAACACAUGCAAGUCGAACGGAAAGGCCCUGCUUUUGUGGGGUGCUCGAGUGGCGAACGGGUGAGUAACACGUGAGUAACCUGCCCUUGACUUUGGGAUAACUUCAGGAAACUGGGGCUAAUACCGGAUAGGAGCUCCUGCUGCAUGGUGGGGAUUGGAAAGUUUCGGCGGUUGGGGAUGGACUCGCGGCUUAUCAGCUUGUUGGUGGGGUAGUGGAUUACCAAGGCUUUGACGGGUAGUCGGCCUGAGAGGUUGACCGGCCACAUGAGGACUAAGAUACGGCCCAGACGCGUACAGGGGGCAAUAGUGGGGAAUAUUACACAAUGGGCGGAAGCCUGAUGCAGCAACCCCCCGAGCGGGAUGACGGCCUUCGGGUGAUGAACCGCUUUCGCCUUUGAAAAAGCGUGAGUGACGGUAAUGGGUAAAGAAGCACCGGCUAAGUACGUG
rnacentral:rRNA from 1 species